AACGAACGCUGGCGGCAUGCCUAACACAUGCAAGUCGAACGAGACCUUCGGGUCUAGUGGCGCACGGGUGCGUAACGCGUGGGAACCUGCCCUUAGGUUCGGAAUAACUCCCCGAAAGGGGUGCUAAUACCGGAUAAUGUCUUCGGACCAAAGAUUUAUCGCCUUUGGAUGGGCCCGCGUUGGAUUAGCUAGUUGGUAGGGUAAAAGCCUACCAAGGCGACGAUCCAUAGCUGGUCUGAGAGGAUGAUCAGCCACACUGGUACUGAGACACGGCCCAGACUCCUACGGGAGGCAGCAGUGGGGAAUAUUGGACAAUGGACGAAAGCCUGAUCCAGCAAUGCCGCGUGAGUGAUGAAGGCCUUAGGGUUGUAAAGCUCUUUUACCCGGGAUGAUAAUGACAGUACCGGGAGAAUAAGCUCCGGCUAACUCCGUG
rnacentral:rRNA from 1 species